rnacentral:rRNA from 1 species
AGUGAACGCUGGCGGCAGGCCUAACACAUGCAAGUCGAACGGCAGCACAGAGGAGCUUGCUCCUUGGGUGGCGAGUGGCGGACGGGUGAGGAAUACGUCGGAAUCUGCCUAUUUGUGGGGGAUAACGUAGGGAAACUUACGCUAAUACCGCAUACGACCUACGGGUGAAAGUGGGGGACCGCAAGGCCUCACGCAGAUAGAUGAGCCGACGUCGGAUUAGCUAGUUGGCGGGGUAAAGGCCCACCAAGGCGACGAUCCGUAGCUGGUCUGAGAGGAUGAUCAGCCACACUGGAACUGAGACACGGUCCAGACUCCUACGGGAGGCAGCAGUGGGGAAUAUUGGACAAUGGGCGCAAGCCUGAUCCAGCCAUGCCGCGUGUGUGAAGAAGGCCUUCGGGUUGUAAAGCACUUUUGUCCGGAAAGAAAAGCUUAGGGUUAAUAACCUUGAGUCAUGACGUACCGGAAGAAUAAGCACCGCUAAC